AAUUUUGAGGAAAGAUUUGACUGAUUGCCACCUCGUAAAAAAAGCGCUAAAGCAGUAAUU
rfam:Galbibacter marinus strain ck-I2-15 contig41, whole genome shotgun sequence.